ACCUUCCAUCGCGACUGCCAACCUUCCUCCCGACCAGAUCACCGUCGCGGCUGCUGCUGUCCAGGCUGGUUGCCGUCCUAUUUUGCGGGUUCGAGGCCAUGUUUUUCUACUAGACCGUGGCCGCCACUUCCUGCUAGAUUAGCGGACAUGGAGAAGAAGAAGGAAGAAGUUGCAGUAAUCAGAAGUGGCGAACCAGGGAGGGGACACAAGAUGAUGAGUAUGAAUCACGAGAUAAACUUCGACUGAAAAAAACGGGAUUCUAAGGUUAGCCCCUGUUCUUCGCUAAUGUCUGAUCCUUUCUCCUCUGCCUCCAGAAUUUUUUUCUGGCAGGUUAUGUACUCUAGAACACCUAUGCUAGGCUAUGUAUUUUUUUCUGCGGCAAAACAUGGAUUAAGCUGUGCGGGAAGUUGUGUUCACAACUUUUAAUCUAACUGCUUUCUUACAUAAGAGCAAAUUUUCCCAAGAAACGGCAGAACAGAGGCCCCUCUUUCAACUUGCCGCAGAUUGGUUAUCCCAUAACCGGACGUCAGAGGGAAAAAUUCAGCAGGUGUUAUGUUAGUGCUUUGUCAGAUAAAAAACUAAAUCUUUCUAAGUAGCACAUGUCCUAUUUUGCAGGUGAUAUAUACUCGAGGGCAUGAAGACGGGUAUUUAAUAAUACUCCAGGUGAGAUAUAUGCAGGUGUUAUGGAUUGUGGUUUUGAGGAAAACAAUGAUUGGAACUCAAUAUGCAGCAGCUAAGUUUCUGAAGCUUGAUCGACAUCUCUUAUCAGUUGUUAAUUAGUACUAGGAUUCAUAUGCAUGUCUACUGUUAUUUUCAGGAAACUCAAGACAUGAUGGUUCUGUUUUGGAUGAAAAAGAAAAGUAGCACCACUGUGUUAACCCAAUGCUUAGGUGAUUAACUGCAGAUCAAACAAUUUUUAUCCCCUGUUUACGCAGUAUGGAAGUACACAUGGUAAUUGGUGAGUGACCUUCUUGGCAUAUGUAGAUUUUCUGCGUUCUGAAUUUUUAGCCCUUGUGAUUCUUGUAGGUUAUGCUUUAUUCAGGCAUAUCACUUGGAAUUCCAUUGCUCUACAUUUUACUUAAAUCACAUAUUUGACACUUUGUACAAUCUGCAGUUAAUUACAAAAUCCCCAGAGUUGCAGAGGAGUUCUACAUAAUUUCAUUAGUUCAUUUAGAGCAUGUCAAAUGGAGCAUCUUAUUUAGGGAUAAAAUCAACUUUCCUCUGAAGUGUGCUGCUGGUCCCGCUCUUCUAUAUGGUGGUCUGAACUGGUCACACUCUUGUGACAGAUUACUACAUCUAGUUGAAGUUAAUAGCGCAGGGUGCUUGCUUAAGCUGCCAGCAUGUAAGAAAUACUAAUAUAUUUGUUACCAUCGUAAUAUGAUAUCUCAAUUAGGGUGCACGUGUGAGUAUGCGUGUGCCCUUGUAGCUGGUCUAUUUGCA
rnacentral:lncRNA from 1 species